UGGGCCCCAGAGCAGUCCAUCUUCAAGGUC
rnacentral:piRNA from 1 species